rnacentral:rRNA from 1 species
CAGUAGCCGCGGUAAUACAGAGGGUGCGAGCGUUAAUCGGAUUUACUGGGCGUAAAGCGUGCGUAGGCGGCUUUUUAAGUCGGAUGCGAAAUCCCUGAGCUUAACUUAGGAAUUGCAUUCGAUACUGGGAAGCUAGAGUAUGGGAGAGGAUGGUAGAAUUCCAGGUGUAGCGGUGAAAUGCGUAGAGAUCUGGAGGAAUACCGAUGGCGAAGGCAGCCAUCUGGCCUAAUACUGACGCUGAGGUACGAAAGCAUGGGGAGCAAACAGGAUUAGAUACCCCCGUAGUCCCUGUCUCUUAUAC